rnacentral:rRNA from 1 species
UGAGCGGAGAUAUAUGGAGCUUGCUUUAUAUAACUUAGCAGCGAACGGGUGAGUAACACGUAGAUAAUCUAUCCUAUACUGGGGGAUAGCCCGAUGAAAGUUGGAUUAAUACCGCAUAUAGCUAUAUAGUUGCAUGAUUAUGUAGUGAAAGAUUUAUUGGUAUAGGAGGAGUCUGCGGCACAUUAGCUAGUAGGUGAGGUAAAGGCUUACCUAGGCGACGAUGUGUAGCCGGUCUGAGAGGAUGAACGGCCACAAUGGAACUGAGACACGGUCCAUACUCCUACGGGAGGCAGCAGUGGGGAAUAUUGCACAAUGGGGGAAACCCUGAUGCAGCAACGCCGCGUGAGUGAAGAAGGUUUUCGGAUUGUAAAGCUCUGUUAGCAGGGAAGAGGAAGGACGGUACCUGCAGAGGAAGCCACGGCUAACUACGUGCCAGCAGCCGCGGUAAUACGUAGGUGGCAAGCGUUGUUCGGAAUAACUGGGCGUAAAGGAUGCGUAGGCGGUUAAACAAGUUAUAUGUUAAAUAUAUAGGCUUAACCUGUAGAAAGCAUAUAAAACUGUUUAACUAGAGUGCAGGAGAGGUAAGUGGAAUUCCUAGUGUAGCGGUGAAAUGCGUAGAGAUUAGGAAGAACACCAGUGGCGAAGGCGACUUACUGGACUGUAACUGACGCUGAGGCAUGAGAGCAUGGGGAGCAAACAGGAUUAGAUACCCUGGUAGUCCAUGCUGUAAAC